CAAUAAAAGAAGCAUGAUAAUAUUCACAUAAAUUGAAUUGGGUCUCUAGGCCUGCCAUAUCUGAUGUUAUUUAGCUUUGAUGUGGGGACAUGGUUCCGCAACAAAACA